CAGCCGCCGCGGUAAAACGUAGGGGGCGAGCAUUGUCCGAAGUUACUGGGCGUAAAGCGCGCAUAGGCGGCUUCUUAAGUCUGAGGUGAAAGGUUCAACGCUUAACGUGAACAGUGCCUUGGAUACUGGGGAGCUUGAGUAUGGGAGAGGGCAGUGGAAUGGCUGGUGUAGCGGUGAAAUGCGUAGAUAUCAGUCGGAACACCCAUGGCGAAGGCAGCUGCCUGGCCUAAUACUGACGCUGAGGUGCGAAAGCGUGGGGAGCGAACGGGAUUAGAUACCCCCGUAGUCCCUGUCUCUUAUU
rnacentral:rRNA from 1 species